AUCCAGAUGAUGGGUCCCAAAAAGAACGAAAUGCACAUCCUGGAU
rnacentral:hammerhead_ribozyme from 1 species